rnacentral:rRNA from 1 species
GACGAACGCUGGCGGCGUGCUUAACACAUGCAAGUCGAACGAUGAGGCCUCAGCUUGCUGGGGUGGAUUAGUGGCGAACGGGUGAGUAACACGUGAGUAACCUGCCUUUCACUCUGGGAUAAGCCUUGGAAACGGGGUCUAAUACUGGAUAUGACUGCCCUUCUCAUGGGGGGUGGUGGAAAGCUUUUGUGGUGGAAGAUGGACUCGCGGCCUAUCAGCUUGUUGGUGAGGUAGUGGCUUACCAAGGCUUUGACGGGUAGCCGGCCUGAGAGGGUGACCGGCCACACUGGGACUGAGACACGGCCCAGACUCCUACGGGAGGCAGCAGUGGGGAAUAUUGCACAAUGGGCGGAAGCCUGAUGCAGCGACGCCGCGUGAGGGAUGACGGCCUUCGGGUUGUAAACCUCUUUCGCUAGGGACGAAGAUUUUUUGACGGUACCUAGAGAAGAAGCACCGGCUAACUACGUGCCAGCAGCCGCG